rnacentral:rRNA from 1 species
GCUGGCGGCAGGCCUAACACAUGCAAGUCGAGCGGUAGAGAGAAGCUUGCUUCUCUUGAGAGCGGCGGACGGGUGAGUAAUGCCUAGGAAUCUGCCUGGUAGUGGGGGAUAACGUUCGGAAACGGACGCUAAUACCGCAUACGUCCUACGGGAGAAAGCAGGGGACCUUCGGGCCUUGCGCUAUCAGAUGAGCCUAGGUCGGAUUAGCUAGUUGGUGAGGUAAUGGCUCACCAAGGCGACGAUCCGUAACUGGUCUGAGAGGAUGAUCAGUCACACUGGAACUGAGACACGGUCCAGACUCCUACGGGAGGCAGCAGUGGGGAAUAUUGGACAAUGGGCGAAAGCCUGAUCCAGCCAUGCCGCGUGUGUGAAGAAGGUCUUCGGAUUGUAAAGCACUUUAAGUUGGGAGGAAGGGUUGUAGAUUAAUACUCUGCAAUUUUGACGUUACCGACAGAAUAAGCACCGGCUAACUCUGUGCCAGCAGCCGCGGUAAUACAGAGGGUGCAAGCGUUAAUCGGAAUUACUGGGCGUAAAGCGCGCGUAGGUGGUUUGUUAAGUUGGAUGUGAAAUCCCCGGGCUCAACCUGGGAACUGCAUUCAAAACUGACUGACUAGAGUAUGGUAGAGGGUGGUGGAAUUUCCUGUGUAGCGGUGAAAUGCGUAGAUAUAGGAAGGAACACCAGUGGCGAAGGCGACCACCUGGACUAAUACUGACACUGAGGUGCGAAAGCGUGG